UCGGGAACUAUAAGGGGACUGCCGGUGAUAAACCGGAGGAAGGUGAGGACGACGUCAAGUCAUCAUGGCCCUUACGAGUAGGGCUACACACGUGCUACAAUGGGGAAUACAGACGGACGCUAAGCCGCGAGGUGGUGCUAAUCCUAGAAAGUUUCUCGUAGUCCGGAUUGGAGUCUGCAACUCGACUCCAUGAAGUCGGAAUCGCUAGUAAUCGCGGAUCAGCAUGCCGCGGUGAAUACGUUCUCGGGUCUUGUACACACCGCCCGU
rnacentral:rRNA from 1 species